rnacentral:rRNA from 1 species
AUGCAGAGGUGGUGGGAGUCCUCGGUGGGGUAUGAGCAAUUGCUGAAUGUGGCUUUAACCAUUUGGAUAUUCCCGAUAAUGUGCAUGACAUGCUUCAUGUAUGGAUGCCCAGCAUAUAUGAAACUGAACGUGGACGCUGGAUUUGAUCAAGACAACUUAAAUGGGUCGGUUGGUGCAAUUAUCCACGAUCACACUGGAAAGUUUAUUGCCGCUGCAAACGAAAGAUUGAGUUCUUGUUAUGAUGCUUUUACAGCUGAAGCAAUAGCAGUUUUUUUUGAAACGAGGCAAAAAACUUGCCAUUUUCAUUGA